rnacentral:rRNA from 1 species
CCUACGGGUGGCUGCAAUGGGGAAUAUUUCGCAAUGGGGGAAACCCUGACGCAGCAACGCCGCGUGAGUGAAGAAGUUUCUCGGUAUGUAAAGCUCUAUCAGAGGGGAAGAAGGAAGACGGUACCCGACUAAGAAGCCCCGGCUAACUACGUGCCAGCAGACGCGGUAAUACGUAGGGGGCGCGCGUUAUCCGGAUUUCCUGUGUGUAAAGGGAUCGUAGACGGCGUCGAAUGGCUGAAGUGAAAGCCCGGGGCUCAACCGCGGAAUCGCUUUGGAAACUGCGAGGCUGGAGUGCUGGAGGGGUAAGCGGAAUUCCUGGUGUAGCGGUGAAAUGCGUAGAUAUCAGGAGGAACACCGGUGGCGAAGGCGGCUUACUGGACAGUGACUGACGUUGAGGCUCGAAAGCGUGGGGAGCGAACAGGAGUAGAUACCCUGGUAGUC